rnacentral:rRNA from 1 species
AGAGUUUGAUCAUGGCUCAGGAUGAACGUUGGCGGCGUGCCUAACACAUGCAAGUCGAACGAGCAGCCGGAUUCUUCGGAAACCGGUGGGCGAGUGGCGCACGGGUGAGUAACACGUGGAUGAUCAGCCCCGAAGCGGGGGAUAACUGCUGGAAACGGCAGCUAAUACCGCAUGUGCUUGCCGGAUCGUUAUGGUCUGGUAAGUAAAGCUCCGGCGCUUCGGGAGGAGUCCGCGGCCGAUUAGCUAGUUGGUGGGGUAAUGGCCCACCAAGGCGAUGAUCGGUAGGGGGCGUGAGAGCGUGACCCCCCACACUGGAACUGAGACACGGUCCAGACUCCUACGGGAGGCAGCAGUGAGGAAUAUUGCACAAUGGGCGAAAGCCUGAUGCAGCAACGCCGCGUGGGGGACGAAGGCCUUCGGGUUGUAAACCCCUUUUCUGCGGGAAGAGAAAGGACGGUACCGCAGGAAUAAGUCACGGCUAACUACGUGCCAGCAGCCGCGGUAAAACGUAGGUGGCGAACGUUAUCCGGAUUUACUGGGCGUAAAGCGCUCGCAGGCGGCUUCGUAAGUCUGACGUGAAAGCCCCCGGCUUAACUGGGGGAGGUCGUUGGAUACUGCGGAGCUUGAGGACGGAAGARGAGAGUGGAAUUCCCGGUGUAGCGGUGGAAUGCGUAGAUAUCGGGAGGAACUCCAGUGGCGAAGGCGACUCUCUGGUCCGUUCCUGACGCUCAGGAGCGAAAGCGUGGGGAGCGAACAGGAUUAGAUACCCUGGUAGUCCACGCUGUUAACGAUGUGAACUAGGUGUCGGCGCUGUUAUGGCGUCGGUGCCGUAGCUAACGCGUUAAAGUUCACCGCCUGGGGACUACGGCCGCAAGGCUAAAACUCAAAGGAAUUGACGGGGGCCCGCACAAGCAGCGGAGCGUGUGGUUUAAUUCGAUGCAACGC